CUUUCAGUCACAUCACAGCGGCUCAGUUGAAGCGAUAAACAGAACCAUAUAAUGAAAUCCAAAAGUGACAAGUCGUAGAUAUUUAAAACUGGGUGAAGCCUAUCAGCUACAAUGUCAUGUUGACAAAUCAAACAGCAGAAUCGGAAAUUUUCCUCCUGCCAGGAAAGAGGGUGGUGACUAUGCACAAGGAAUUCCUGUAUCUAAAACGAUUAUGGAAACCAGAUGUUAGAGUGUCCCUUAAACAUGCUAAUGCAGGUCAGAUUAUUGGCAGCCUGGAGAAAUGGAUACCCUUUUCCAAGUACCAUCUUGAUCUGCCACUCAGUAAGCUUAGAUGGAUUGGUACAGACGAUACUUCAAUUGUCAGUUUGUGGGAUCAUGAAUCAUCAUAAACAGACCCGGAACAGAUGGAGUUAGCCUUGUAACUGUGGACGUAGUGUAACGUCACCUGUUAGCAUGCUGGAAAAUGCAGUUGUUGAUGUGUCUGCUAAAUUUUCAGUUUUCCUGUUGUAUUUCAGUGAGUUAAUUAUUUCUUACCAUUUGAUGUGGUGUAUCGUGAUACAAAUCAGGCCAGUCAGUAUCAUAAUAUAUAUUUUGUGAUGUGAUUUCAGAGAUACUCAGCUGUAUUACAAACAUUGAUUAAACAAACUAAUCAACUGACGCAUAAGCUCUUUAUCCUGUAGUUUCGUUCUGUACAAAAGCAGGAAGAAAACCUUUUAGGCUUGUCA